UAGCAGUUUGAUUCGUGGCUUCAGAAACGAACGCUGUGACUGUCGAUGUUAUAACACUAUGACAGGUUCUUAACGUACACGUUUCCGUCUUGGCAUUCACAUACGUAWGGUAAAGUUUUACGUGGGCAGAACGGRCUGCCUUAAMMCAUGAGGCAACCUGCCAUGAAGKGGGGGAUWRCYCGCCGAUAGGMKAAUGAUAUACCCC
rnacentral:rRNA from 1 species